rnacentral:rRNA from 1 species
GUGGGGAAUAUUGGACAAUGGGCGAAAGCCUGAUCCAGCCAUGCCGCGUGUGUGAAGAAGGUCUUCGGAUUGUAAAGCACUUUAAGUUGGGAGGAAGGGCAGUAAGUUAAUACCUUGCUGUUUUGACGUUACCGACAGAAUAAGCACCGGCUAACUUCGUGCCAGCAGCCGCGGUAAUACGAAGGGUGCAAGCGUUAAUCGGAAUUACUGGGCGUAAAGCGCGCGUAGGUGGUUUUGUAAGUUGGAGGUGAAAUCCCCGGGCUCAACCUGGGAACGGCCUCCAAAACUGCAUGGCUAGAGUACGGUAGAGGGUAGUGGAAUUUCCUGUGUAGCGGUGAAAUGCGUAGAUAUAGGAAGGAACACCAGUGGCGAAGGCGACUACCUGGACUGAUACUGACACUGAGGUGCGAAAGCGUGGGGAGCAAACAGGAUUAGAUACCCGAGUAGUCC